rnacentral:rRNA from 1 species
UACGAAGGACCCAAGCGUUAUCCGGAUUUAUUGGGUUUAAAGGGUGCGUAGGCGGGUUGUUAAGUCAGUGGUGAAAGCUCCGAGCCUAACUCGGAAACUGCCAUUGAUACUGACGAUCUUGAGUACAUUUGAGGUGGGCGGAAUGUGUCAUGUAGCGGUGAAAUGCUUAGAUAUGACGCAGAACACCGAUUGCGAAGGCAGCUCACUAAACUGUAACUGACGCUGAGGCACGAAAGCGUGGGGAGCAAACAGG